GGGUUGUGAGGUUAAGCGACUAAGCGUACACGGUGGAUGCCCUGGCAGUCAGAGGCGAUGAAGGACGUGCUAAUCUGCGAUAAGCGUCGGUAAGGUGAUAUGAACCGUUAUAACCGGCGAUUUCCGAAUGGGGAAACCCAGUGUGAUUCGUCACACUAUCAUUAACUGAAUCCAUAGGUUAAUGAGGCGAACCGGGGGAACUGAAACAUCUAAGUACCCCGAGGAAAAGAAAUCAACCGAGAUUCCCCCAGUAGCGGCGAGCGAACGGGGAGCAGCCCAGAGCCUGAAUCAGUGUGUGUGUUAGUGGAAGCGUCUGGAAAGGCGUGCGAUACAGGGUGACAGCCCCGUACACAAAAAUGCACAUACUGUGAGCUCGAUGAGUAGGGCGGGACACGUGGUAUCCUGUCUGAAUAUGGGGGGACCAUCCUCCAAGGCUAAAUACUCCUGACUGACCGAUAGUGAACCAGUACCGUGAGGGAAAGGCGAAAAGAACCCCGGCGAGGGGAGUGAAAAAGAACCUGAAACCGUGUACGUACAAGCAGUGGGAGCACGCUUAGGCGUGUGACUGCGUACCUUUUGUAUAAUGGGUCAGCGACUUAUAUUCUGUAGCAAGGUUAACCGAAUAGGGGAGCCGAAGGGAAACCGAGUCUUAACUGGGCGUUAAGUUGCAGGGUAUAGACCCGAAACCCGGUGAUCUAGCCAUGGGCAGGUUGAAGGUUGGGUAACACUAACUGGAGGACCGAACCGACUAAUGUUGAAAAAUUAGCGGAUGACUUGUGGCUGGGGGUGAAAGGCCAAUCAAACCGGGAGAUAGCUGGUUCUCCCCGAAAGCUAUUUAGGUAGCGCCUCGUGAAUUCAUCUCCGGGGGUAGAGCACUGUUUCGGCAAGGGGGUCAUCCCGACUUACCAACCCGAUGCAAACUGCGAAUACCGGAGAAUGUUAUCACGGGAGACACACGGCGGGUGCUAACGUCCGUCGUGAAGAGGGAAACAACCCAGACCGCCAGCUAAGGUCCCAAAGUCAUGGUUAAGUGGGAAACGAUGUGGGAAGGCCCAGACAGCCAGGAUGUUGGCUUAGAAGCAGCCAUCAUUUAAAGAAAGCGUAAUAGCUCACUGGUCGAGUCGGCCUGCGCGGAAGAUGUAACGGGGCUAAACCAUGCACCGAAGCUGCGGCAGCGACGCUUAUGCGUUGUUGGGUAGGGGAGCGUUCUGUAAGCCUGUGAAGGUGUGCUGUGAGGUAUGCUGGAGGUAUCAGAAGUGCGAAUGCUGACAUAAGUAACGAUAAAGCGGGUGAAAAGCCCGCUCGCCGGAAGACCAAGGGUUCCUGUCCAACGUUAAUCGGGGCAGGGUGAGUCGACCCCUAAGGCGAGGCCGAAAGGCGUAGUCGAUGGGAAACAGGUUAAUAUUCCUGUACUUGGUGUUACUGCGAAGGGGGGACGGAGAAGGCUAUGUUGGCCGGGCGACGGUUGUCCCGGUUUAAGCGUGUAGGCUGGUUUUCCAGGCAAAUCCGGAAAAUCAAGGCCGAGGCGUGAUGACGAGGCACUACGGUGCUGAAGCAACAAAUGCCCUGCUUCCAGGAAAAGCCUCUAAGCAUCAGGUAACAUCAAAUCGUACCCCAAACCGACACAGGUGGUCAGGUAGAGAAUACCAAGGCGCUUGAGAGAACUCGGGUGAAGGAACUAGGCAAAAUGGUGCCGUAACUUCGGGAGAAGGCACGCUGAUACGUAGGUGAAGCGACUUGCUCGUGGAGCUGAAAUCAGUCGAAGAUACCAGCUGGCUGCAACUGUUUAUUAAAAACACAGCACUGUGCAAACACGAAAGUGGACGUAUACGGUGUGACGCCUGCCCGGUGCCGGAAGGUUAAUUGAUGGGGUUAGCGCAAGCGAAGCUCUUGAUCGAAGCCCCGGUAAACGGCGGCCGUAACUAUAACGGUCCUAAGGUAGCGAAAUUCCUUGUCGGGUAAGUUCCGACCUGCACGAAUGGCGUAAUGAUGGCCAGGCUGUCUCCACCCGAGACUCAGUGAAAUUGAACUCGCUGUGAAGAUGCAGUGUACCCGCGGCAAGACGGAAAGACCCCGUGAACCUUUACUAUAGCUUGACACUGAACAUUGAGCCUUGAUGUGUAGGAUAGGUGGGAGGCUUUGAAGUGUGGACGCCAGUCUGCAUGGAGCCGACCUUGAAAUACCACCCUUUAAUGUUUGAUGUUCUAACGUGGACCCGUGAUCCGGGUUGCGGACAGUGUCUGGUGGGUAGUUUGACUGGGGCGGUCUCCUCCUAAAGAGUAACGGAGGAGCACGAAGGUUGGCUAAUCCUGGUCGGACAUCAGGAGGUUAGUGCAAUGGCAUAAGCCAGCUUGACUGCGAGCGUGACGGCGCGAGCAGGUGCGAAAGCAGGUCAUAGUGAUCCGGUGGUUCUGAAUGGAAGGGCCAUCGCUCAACGGAUAAAAGGUACUCCGGGGAUAACAGGCUGAUACCGCCCAAGAGUUCAUAUCGACGGCGGUGUUUGGCACCUCGAUGUCGGCUCAUCACAUCCUGGGGCUGAAGUAGGUCCCAAGGGUAUGGCUGUUCGCCAUUUAAAGUGGUACGCGAGCUGGGUUUAGAACGUCGUGAGACAGUUCGGUCCCUAUCUGCCGUGGGCGCUGGAGAACUGAGGGGGGCUGCUCCUAGUACGAGAGGACCGGAGUGGACGCAUCACUGGUGUUCGGGUUGUCAUGCCAAUGGCACUGCCCGGUAGCUAAAUGCGGAAGAGAUAAGUGCUGAAAGCAUCUAAGCACGAAACUUGCCCCGAGAUGAGUUCUCCCUGACCCUUUAAGGGUCCUGAAGGAACGUUGAAG
rnacentral:rRNA from 1 species